UGCAAGUGGCAAAGAUGUGGAGGGAAACGAGCCAGAGGUGGGAGGUGAGAGGGAUGUGUGGAGAAGUUACCAGCCACGUCCUGCUUUUUGGGAUUUUGGGAGCUGGGAGAAGCCACGUGUGCCCCUGGGAGGCUGGACUGUCCUGGGUUUCAGGUGCUGGGUGCUGGGUGUGCAGGGAACAGCCAGGUGCUGUGCCCACCCUCGGGGUUUUUGGGGUGCUGCAGGGUGGCUCAGGUGCUCUCCAGCACCUGGUCAAAGUCCACGGCUUUCUUUGUGCUCGUAGCAACCACGUCCAGGCUGAUAAAAGCCUCGUUUGUGGUGUUGUUCAAAGGGUGCCUAAAACCAGUGUUAUCCCUUUAGGAUGCCGAGAAAAGCUAUUCCAUCCCCCAGAUGUGCCAGCAGGCCUGUGGCUCUUUGGACAGGGAGUUUUUUGGCAAGGCCUGGCUGCUCAGCAGAGUUUCUCCACGGCCACGAGCUGUUCUUUUCCUGGUUCACCAGAGUGAAACAGCCUGGCAUGAGGCUCCUCUUCUGCACGGGAUUCCUUGACAAAGCUGGCCCGUGCUCAGCGCUUCCCUCUGCCCAAUUCUUUCUAAGAAACCUGAUGCUCCUCUGGAGGCUGGGAGGUGCCACACUGCCAGCCUCAGGCCUCCGGAGCCUUUAUAUCGGAAUAGUGAAAUGAGUUUCUCUAAUUGGCCAUUUAGAUGCUAAUUUGCUUCUCCCAGAUCAACCUGCCCCGAACUGCAAGAGCCUGCUGUCUUCAUGAAUUAUUCACUUUGCAUAAGGCACCUGCCUGGCUGGGGAUCAGGAGGAAAUGGGUCCAAAGUCUGAUAAAUAAAAAUACACCUUGGCAGGUGGAACAGGGCUGGCUUUCCUCCCUUCCAUCAAAGGGUGCUGGGGCACCUGGAGGCUGCUUUGCUUUGGCAAAACCCGUUGGUUUUUGGGUUUUUUUUUUGUUUUUUUUAGCUCACCGUAUCUCAGGUAGCCACACUAAGAAGUGCCUCUCAUUAAUAAAGAAUUGUUGGUGCUGGAUGUCAGCUUUCCUGUCGAGCUGAUUUUAUCUUCCCACUCACAGGACUGGUGUGGACCUCCAGGGCAUUGUAUUUUAAAAACUCUUUAUAAGCUGCAUCUUAAAAGCAGUUUGGCUUCUUGCUGCUGCUGCUGGGAUUGGGGAGCAGCUCUUGUGGAGAGGAAACUUCUUGGUUUUCCCCUCCAAACCUCAUCCUCACCCACUUCUUUACCAGCUUGGCCUUUCACUAUAAGGACACCUCCCAGCUGGUGUUUGAUCUGGGCUGGGCCAGCCACAAUGAGGAUCUGAAUGAGGUUGUCCCCAUUUUGCUGGCACUGAUGCUGCUUAGGUUGAGCUUUCAGGGGAAAGUCUGACUGAUUGGGUCCUUAAGUUGUUCUCCCCAGGCUUGGCAAAGGCUUUGUGGUGUUUAUUUGGACACUGUUUUGGCCUGGGCUGCAAAUCAGCUCUGAUCCCAUUGGAUUCCCUGUGUCAGCUCUGAUCCCACUGGAUCCCUGUGUCAGCUCUGAUCCUAUUAGAUCCUUGUGUCAGCUCUGAUCCCAUUAGAUAUCUGUGUCAGCUCUGAUCCCAUUGGAUUCCCUGUGUCAGCUCUGAUCCUAUUAGAUCCUUGUGUCAGCUCUGAUCCCUGGAUUCUCUGUGUCAGCUCUGAUCCCAUUAGAUCCCUGUGUCAGCUCUGAUCCCACUGGAUCACUCUGUCAGCUCUGAUCCCAUUAGAUCCCUGUCUCCUGUCUCUCCAUCUGCUCCUGAGGGUUGGUAAGGAAUGCCAAGACCUGAGAGAGGUGCUGGGGGUCUCCUGGCUCUGCUAAGCCCUUAUAAAAUAAUUUUCCAGCAUUUUUUGGUGCCCACAGCAGGCUCCUGCUGAAGGGGCUGUGGCCCUGCUGGACGUGGGUGUGAACGAGCAGCUCCAAGGGGUUCAGGUGGGAGAAAAACUUCUCCAAGCCCUGACUCAGCCUUGCUCUGGCUCCAGACCUUCAAAGCCAACUUUGCGUUUCCUACAGCCCCGAGGGUUCUCCUGCCACUUCAAACCAGCUCUGAAAUACAUCUGGGGGAUUUUAAACCCCAGGGGAAGAGCGGUGGCUGCAGCAAAUAACCUUCCUGCUGGUGGCUGGGUUAACCUUACCCAUCCCUGCCCCUCACUUGCCCCGUGCCAUGGCAACACAGCAAACACUCCUCAGUUGCCAAGGUUUCCCAGGGCUAAUGGGGUCUGGCUGCAGAGCAGGAGGUGAUUACACUCUGAAAAAUGAGUGUUGUAUGGUUGGCUGUUUUGCAAAUAUUAAAAUGAAUGUUAUGUGUGUUAUGUUAGAAAGUUAUGCUGUAUUAAUUCUUUUAAGUAGUGUGUUAAAUAUAGUUUUAGGCUGUAACAUAAUGUUAAAAUAGAAACUGUGUGAUGAAAGAUACUUUUCUAACUAGCUCAAGGAAUGGAUAAGAUAAUCAAGAAAUUCUUCAUAGAAAGAUAACAGCAACACGAUACUAAAAUCCCAAAGAGAAAAAUUAUUACCUCCUUACUGAGAAGAACCAAACUCCUACCUCCUUACAGACUUUACAGAGCCAAAUCAUAAUUUACAAGAUGAAGGGGGGAAAGUUGACAAUAAACAAAAAACUCCCUAGUUUAAAAAGAGUGUUUACAUCAUGUGUGAAAUAUAUGAAUAUAUAUUAUAUUUACUUCUAAAUUAUAUAUUAUAUAUAUUAUAUAUUAAUUUCUAAAUCCUAAAAUUAUAUAUUAUAUAUGUUAUAUAUUAACUUCUAAAUCCUAAAAAGGAUUUAGAAGUUAAUCCUUUGUUAGCAGACAUGCUUUUUUGAAGAAAACAUCCAAACGUUCAUAAUUCUUUACUUUUUUAUUGUCCUAACUCUGAUUGUCCAAAUUCUUAUUGCUCUAAUUUUUUAUUACUAUUUUUAAACUAUUCAACUUUUAAAAUUUUAACACAAGUAAGUAGCAUUUUUCACAACACUGAUUUCUUGGAGGGAAGAAGGGCCACCAGGCACCUGUGAAUCCUGGGGGAGGUGGUGCCCUGGGAGCAGGUGAGAUAAUUACACAGCUUGGGAACUGGGAGCUUGGCUCCAGCCAACUGCUUCAUUUUGAUUUUUGUAAAAUGAAGUAUUAAAAAAAAAAAAAGUAGUCAAAUUAAUUUGCUAUGAAAACAAAUUAAUUUAGACACGAGCUGCUCAGCUGAAAUAGGCAGGCAAAUGGAAGCUGACUGGAGGCCUCCUCGUGGGGCUGUGUAGGAUUUUUUGUCUUUGCAGGGCUCUGAGGAAUUGAUGCUUCGUGGGCCCAGCUGCAGGAGGGCUGGGCAGGCUGUGCUGCCCCUGCACGAGGAGGUUUUUGUGCCAUGAGCACCUCAGGGUCAGCCAAACCCUUCAGUUCCAGCUUUGGUGUGCUCAGGGUGAAGUCUGAGGUGGAGGAGUGGGGAAGGGGCUUGGUGUGGUGAGACGAUGCUGGAAAGGCAAGAUGGUAAAUUUGGGGCAGGAAAAUGUUGAGGGUGUUAAAGAGAGCUGCAGGCUGGGUCAGGCAGUGCCUGAUCCAGGAAUGUCUGGGGGCUGGGAGGGAGUUCUGGGUAAAUAUUGCUGGGCUGUGCUGUUAUAUUCUUCCUUAAGCACCUGCUCCUGCAGCUGGUGAGGUGGCAGGUACAACCUGCUGUGUCUGUGCUGUUAUUGAGGUAAAAUUGGUGAUGCUCACGUUGAUGUUCUGCUGAGAAAACCUGGAUUCCUUCUCAGCAAUUCUUUGAACAGCAUCAUGUCCAUGAGCUGUGCCUGCCUGCCCCUGCUCCCUUCAUUCAGGCCCACUGGAAGGUUUCUCCCUCCCAGACUGAAGUUCUGAGUUCUGGUAGCCAGAGUACAGCUCUUACCAUGGAGACAGCAGAGAAGGAGCCACAUCAGAGCUGCAGCAGGGAUGUGCUGGGGUCUGCAUCCUCCAGGAUGGCCCUGGCCCCACAGGAAGGCUCAGCCCUGCAGGGCACUGCUCCUCCCCUGGGCUGCUGUGCCAAGGGCAGCCAGCUGCACUCGCAUUUAAUGAGGUUUUGUCUCACAUGACUUCCUCCACCACAGGAAAGGAAUGAGCAGGUGGAGUGGUUUUAAAGCAGGUCAGAGAAUAUCGAUAAGAGCUCCCCUUUUAAUUCUGAACUCAGGUAAAAAGCAGAAGCCUGGAGUGGGAGGUUUUUCUGUACCAUGCUGUCACCCUGUGUGCAGGGCACCUGCAGGUGGGCCAGGAGCUGUGAGUUUCUCUUGCUCCCACCAGGAGAGACUGACUGGCUGCUUCUACCCUUUGUUAGUUUGUUGAGAGAAGAGGAGAGGGAGGGGAUGGCUUGGUGCUGAUUGAAAUAGUUUUGAGAGAAAAUGCAAGACUGUAGGAGGGGGAUAUUUCACCACAGCCCAUGGAAAUGACUCUGCAGGCUGGCGUGGUUUUGCUAUCUGGGUGUUUCUGAUUUCCCUGCACUUCUUGUCCUGUACUGAGAUAAGAUGCUCCAUGCCUUCCACUCCUCUGGCAUCAUUCCCCCACCCAUCAGAGACAGUCCCUUCUCUCCAGCCCUGCUUUUCCCCAGCAGACCAUGCCCUGCAGUCCCAUUCCUGUUUCCUUCCUCGAGGUGUGUCCCCACCAGACUUUUUCCAGAGGCACAAGUGGAAAACCAGCAGCUCCCAUCAGGGGAGAUGGCACAUCCUGUAAAUAUUUCAGGGAAUGAUCUGUCUGAAGACUCUUUUGGGAUCUGGUGGCUCUUUAGGCUGUGUUUUGUUUGAAUUCUGUCUUUGCAGAUGCUGCUCAGGGAAGGGGAGGACAGGGAGCUUAUGCUGAGUAACAAGAGGCAAAGGACCAUGACAUUGCUUGUUUUUGUUCAGUCACGCUGAGCAAAGCUCACUGUGCUGUGAGGCUGGAGAAUGCCUUUAAGCCUCUCCUGAGAAAAAUGCUCAGCUCAUGUGCUCUAUUCUGACUCGCCUUCAGCUCUGGUGGAGCAGAUAAAGCUCUGCUGAGGAGGGGCUGAUGCUUCCAGCACAGCUUUCCACCCUGAGAGCUGCUGGCAAGGCAAGCUCCUCUGCCCUGCCUGUGCUGUGGGGCUCGUCUCCAGCUCCAGAUUUUAUUCCAAAGACCCCCCCAGCCAGCACAGGCUGCUUGCCUGGAGCCCUGCAUGGACACAGAGUGUGGGCUGUGCUAUUCUUCAGGUGUUCACGAGUGGGAGGGAGGAAUUCACGGUGCAGCUGAGGAGUAAUUUAAUGUAUGCAUUUGUGUGGGGGGCUACAUAUGCAUAUAAUCCUGUAACCACACAUCACAGGCUUGGGAAAUCUCUGGAAAAUCCCGGGUCAGCCAUUCUGUGUGCAAUUGUAGCUUUUCUCUGCUUCUAACUCAGGCCUGAGGGUGGGAGCCUCUGUGUUCUUGUGCUGUUCAUGCCUGAUUGCUCCCCUGGGUGUGAGCUCUGUGGGAUGGGAGUGGGGAGGGUGUUCUCCUGUUCUCUCCUCGCAGGAGAUUGUCAGGAAGAUUAAAAGAGCAGGAGGUGUUCUGGGGCUGAAUGGAAAUGCAAACCCAGUGUGUGGCACUGAGCAGAGCAGGGAGAGCAGUCAGUGCCAGGCUUCAAGGUUUUCUUUACCACUAAAGUGGUAAAGGUUUAAAAAAUCCUGUGUGACAUUCCUGUCUGUCCUUCCUGCCUCAGCCCUGUUUCCUGCAGCUUUCCCAUCUCCCCCACGCCUCACUUUGCACAAGUCAGACUCUGCUGAGCCUUCACCUCCUUUACACAUAUUUCCCCCUGCACUGGAAGAAAUCUGCAUGGAAUUUCCCCUCUCCCCUCCUGCCUGUUGUAAGCACUGCAUUUUCAAGCUCUUCCCAGAAACUGGGAUGGCCAGAGAGGAGGGAGCUGGUUCAUUUUGGCUCUGGGUGGUUUGGCAGGAGGGAGCUGUCAGUCCUGUGCCACAGGCUGGUGUUUCUGUGCUGGGGGAUGAGCACAGCAGGGAGGGUUUGAUGUGCACAAGCUCUGUGUGAGGGGGCCAAGGCCACCAGGCUGUGCCUGGCACAGCAGCACGGAGCUCAGUGUGGCAGUAGCAGAUAGCAGGGGAGGCUGCAGCACUGCUGGCCACUGAGGCUGGAAAAAAAAAAAAGAGUUUGCUUGGGAACUGCAGCAGGGCUGGCAGGUGACACACCUGGCCUGCCACUGGAUCUGAGUCCUGCUUGCCAACCAGCAUGAAACACGUUAUCUCUGCCCAGCAGGUGGGGUUUCAAAGCUGGCAAGUGUCUGUGCUGGGGACGAGCAUUAAUACCUGGGAAUUUAUGCAUUAGGGCUUGUGAGACACUCGCUCUGCUGGAGAGCAAAUCCAGCUGGUUAAAAGCUCACUACAUCAAGCCUAGUUCAGCAUCCAUUGAAAUCUUUUGGCUGUGCCUGUCCCUCGGUGCUUUCCAUUCAUCUGAGCUGCUGAUAGGGCUCAGAACUGCUCAGCUGCAGAGUCUCUUUGGGGGAUGUUUCUCCCAUGAGCAUCUGGAAGUUGGUUCUUGCUGCCUUUCCUGAUCAGUUCAGUGGAAUUUUCACUGAACACUGCUGUGACCAUUCCAGGGACAGGAGCCACAGCAGGAGAUCUGCUACAAGAGGUGCUGUCUUGAGCAUCAGAGAAUGCAAACAAGCUGCUAUUGUAGGCUGGAGUUAUAAAUAUCAGGCUAUUAUGGAGGCAGUUUUAAUGAAGGAAAUGACUUGCCACUAUUCAUGCUGAUUGUUGCGUGGGUUUUUGUUUGUUACCCCAUUAAGAGGUUAAAAAAAAGGCAACUGUAGCUUCUUUGUGUCCUUUGGAGUGGCUUUCUCUGUCAGAACUGCAGCGCUGGGGCUCUGGAGGUGGGGAGGCAGGGACUAUUUUUACAGACAACGCUUUUCUCUAGUUUGAAAUGAAAAAUCAGGACUGACAAAGAGUGUCUGGCUUUUUUUUUUUUUUCUUCCUUCCCAGAGUAUACCAUAAAAUCUAAACUUCCAGCCUUGCCUUCAAGGUACCUGAAGGUAUUUAUUAGCUUAUAUUUUGUGAGGGUGAUGGUUUGUUUUUAUCACUGUCUGUGGGUGAGUCUGGCUGCUCCCACUGUGUGUGGUGCUGGCAGAUCACCUCUGUUUGCUUCCUCCAGGUGUGACCCUGCCAACCCCACCCCUCCCCAGGCUGGGGCCAUGGCUGAGAUGAUUUUUGGCAGCGGGACGGGCCCCUGGGUUUGCCCCAACGACCGGCAGCUGGCCCUGAGAGCCAAGCUCCAGACGGGCUGGUCAGUGCACACAUUCCAGACUGAGAAGCAGAGGAAGAUGCAGGCUCUGAGCCCCAAGGAGCUUGAGGUCAUCCUGGGAGUGAUCCGCAAGGCAGAGCAGCUGGACGUGGUGGAGCAGCAGCGCGUCGGGCGCCUGGUGGAGAGGCUGGAGAACAUGAGGAAGAACGCCAUGGGGAACGGCCUCUCGCAGUGCCUGCUCUGUGGGGAGAUGCUGGGGCUGCUGGGCAGCUCCUCUGUCUUCUGCCAGGACUGCAAAAAGAAAGUUUGCACCAAGUGUGGGAUAGAAACUGUCGGAGCCCAGAAACGUCCCCUGUGGUUGUGCAAGAUCUGCAGUGAGCAGAGAGAGGUCUGGAAGAGGUCUGGGGCGUGGUUCUACAAAGGGCUGCCCAAGUACAUCACGCCUUUGAAGAGCAGCAGCAGCAGAGCCCUGGAGCUGCAGGGCCAGCCCUGGCAGGGCGAGGCGGCCGAGAGCAUCGGGAGCAGCCGCUCCUUCACCUGGGCCAGGGGAAAAGUGGUUUCCAGUGACAGUGAGAGCGACUCAGAGCUCAGCUGCUCCAGCCUGGAUGACAAACCCGUGGGACCCAGAGGCUCUCAAGGGAGGAAGCUCCAGGCAGGAAUGGCACCCACCAGGGGACCCAGCCAGGCCACGGGCACAGCCCUGGGGACCCCCCAGUGCCCCCAGGUGUGGGGGAGCCACAGCAGCCUGGGCAGUGAGCAGGGGGCAGAGCUCAGCCCCACGGAGAGUGACCGAGCCCCGGACAGGCGCCACAGCGACGCCGGCACCAGCACCCCUGAUACUCUCCAAAUCCUCCAGCAAGGCAAGACAAUAACCCAGCCAGUGGAAUUGUGACUGGUGUGGCUGGACUUUAAUUGAAUCCUGCACUUGAAAGUCACCUUUAGUCUUGUCCCCUCCUCUGUGCCUGGCACUGGUGCUGGCAGGGGCACAGAUCAGCUCCUCAGCCCCUCCCUGAAGGUUUUCCACACUGCAACCAAGACUCACAAAGCAGCAGCAAUUGUCCCUUUGUCAAGUGCUGUCCCCGAGGCUCGGUGACAAGCAGGCUCCAUUCAGCUGCCCCACCAAAAAGUGUCUCUGUGUCUCCUCAUUGUUUGCUGAGCUCACACAGCCCUGGCUCUCCUGUUCCCUCAGCAUUCAGCCUCAAGGUUUCAAAUAGCUUUUUAAUCUGUUUUUGCUUUCUAAAAGCUCCUCAGUAAUUGCUGUUGGGAUUGUUCUGCUGGGGAGCUGCCAUCAGGCCAAGGAUGGAGCGUGUCAAGGACUGAGCAGCUCUUGUGCUGCUGCUUCCCCUCUCUGCUUGCCAUGACAACAGCCACCAGAUGGGAGAGUCAGCUGUGGGAUCUCUGCGAGGCAGAAACGCUGCCUGUGGACUGCCAGGCUCCUCUGUUUGGCUUUGACACUUUGUUUUGGGAGGGGAGGGCAGUGCUUCCCCCGUCAGAGCCACCUGCACGUCCGGCGUGGCCAGAGCCAGUGCAUGACCAGAUGGUGUUUGGGCAACCUGGUUCUGGCCACUGCUGGGUCUGAGAGCCUGCAGGAGGGCUUGGACAGUGGCACAAACUGGCAAACAACCUCUGGAGUGCAUUUGUGAAACUGAACUUGGCAGCAGUUUCUCCCCUCCCCUCCCAGAAGUUGUUUCCUUCCAGGGGAGAGGGCUGGGGUGUCUCAGCAGUUCCCCUCUCCCUUUUCUUCCUCCCAUCCCUUUGUUCCUCCCCACCCUGGAGGCUGCUGUCCAGGCUGCCCCCCAGACCCAUCACAGCCCUGUUCUGCAGGUGGCUGUGAUGGACACAGCUCAGGGGAGCUUUUGGUGGGGCUGAUGCUGCACUCACAAAAUGAGACUUCCAGCAGGUGAUGGGUCAGUGAUGGGUCAGCACCUUGAGGGACACGUUCAUCCCGAGUUCCUCAGCCAGACUCCUCCCUGACCCUUUCUUCUGCCAGCAGCAUGUUCAGGGAUGCAGGAAUGAGGACCUUGCCUUCACUCCAGGGCAGAGCAGACAGGAGCAGGAUGCCAGCUGUCACCUCCUCCCACUUCUUACCAGCCUGGUGACUUGCUGCUGAUCAGAGCCUUAUCAGGAGAGGGCUGCUGGCAGAGACGCCUCCCCCGAGUGUGCCUGACCUGUGAUUUCAGAGCUGACAAAUUCCCACGGGACCCUGGCUGCUUUAGUUAUUUGCAAUUAUACAAAUUUCUGUUGCAGCCCUGCUGUCCCAUCCCGUGGGAGCAGCCCCUGGAGCUGCCCUGGUCUCAGGUUUUGGGACUGGAUUUGGGAGCUGGGUGGAGACAUCACAGCUCUGAGACUGGUCCUGCACUGCUGCUGGGUAUUUCAGAGACUCAUCCUCAAAAGAAUCCCCAUUCUGAUCCAUUCCCAGCCCCUGGGACAGCAGCUGGAUCACCCAGAGCAGCUGAUUCCAGCAUUCUUUAUUUCCCAGCUGGUGAAAACAAGCCCAAGAGACCAAGAAAAUCUCAGUGCCCACCUGAGCCCCACUGUGGGAGAGCAGGGGCAGGAGGAGCAGCCCUGGGGCUGCUGACAGGACAGCCCUUCAUCUUCAAAUGGCACUCCUGCAAAAUCAACCCCCUCCGAGCAAUCACACCGUGGCCGUUCAAACGGUGCCUUGGAGGAAAGAAAAAUUAACUGAGAAAUGCAAAUGAGGGAUGUAAAUCUUCCAGGCUGUGUCUGGGAGGGACCUGUUUAAUUAGCAUCAUUGAGCAGCCUUGAUGUGGUGAGUGCUGAGGAGGAAACUUGCCAAAUUCCCCCAGUUUGGAUAGCAGGUGACUUGUGUUCUGUUCGAAUUUCCACCUUGUGAUUGUUUUGCUGUACUUGCCAGAGUUGCUGUGCUGCCUGUGGCAUGAGCAAUUGGCUCUUGUGUCCUGGGCAUCUCGGCAUGGGACUUAUUCCUGUGAUAAAUACGAAUAUCCCAGUGAGGGUGUGGGUUGGGGAGUUCCUGAGCCUUUGUUUCCCCCUCACCCCUGCCUAUCCCAGUGCUCUGGUGCUAAUUGGUGCCACGUGGGUAUUUUCAACACUGAAAAUGUUUGUGAGCUGCCUGGGAAUUGCAGGUGAGGCUUCCCCCGAGGCGCUGCCUUGCCAGGUUUGCAUCCCUCAGGCAGGCUGUGCAUGGUGCUGUCUCACAGAUCUCUGCUCCUGACCUGUCACCGUGGGAGAUGCUGGGAUUAGGAUGAUGGAGUGCUUGGAGAGGAUAAACAAUAAUGAUGCUACACCCAAACAAUGCCUUUCGCUUCCCUCCUUUCUUUUUCUGCCGCUUCCCCAUUCAAGCUUAAUAAGAUCAGUGCAGAUAAUUUCUGUAUUCGUGCAAAACAUCAUUUUCCCUCCUGUGCUUUGCCAGCUGCACUGCAGUGGGGAAGGCAAAUUCACACUUUCUUCUGCUUGGUUAUGAAUGGGUGCAUCUGUUCCUCCAAGAUAGGGAAAGGAGGGUGAAAGGGCUGCAAGGGGAGAGAAGAAAUCAGAUGCAGCCUGGCACAUUGCCUCUGUGGAGAGGGAGGCGUGCAGGAGUCAGGUUUUUGCAGCACAGGCUCAGUCCUGAUGUAUUUUGGAGGUGGGUCAGACUCCAGAGGCAGAAAAGGGGUUUUGCUUAAUGGGGCAGCACAGCCAGCCCUCAGUGGGGCUGGGAUGCCCCAGGGGGCUCAGUCCCACCCUGACCCAGGUGGGGCUGAGCUCUGCUGCUGCUCCUCAGGUGGAAUCAAACCUGCCUGGCUCCCUGGGCUCUCUCCCACUGUGCCAGAGAUCCCCUGAUCCUGCCCCUCCCCAUCCUCAGCACCUCCAGCCUGGGCAGAUUCAGGGCCAGGAGCUGCUGAACAGCAGCAGAAUUAAUGAACUGGGUUUCCUUUCCUCCCUCCUCCUUUUGAGGCAGCCCUGCUGGAGAGGUGAGGGAAAAAGGGGUUGAAUUUUCUCCUGCUAUCUGCUGUGUCCAGCUGUGAGCUGGUCAAACACUGCAGUGGCCUCCAGCCAGUGUCCCAUCGAUAAUUCCAGGGCUCUGCCCGAGCCCAGAUCCCAGCAGUGAUGCUCCAGCUCCCUGCUCCCUCCUCCUGCUGCCGGUUUUGGGCUCCUGCCUCGCUCCUGUGGCACUUAGCAGCUGCCUUUGGCACCUGGUGGCAAAAUCAAGCGUGUUCUUCCUCCAAAGCAGGAGUUUUUCAGCCAGAAAUUCGGGUGAUGUCCCUCCUGUGGAGGUGAGAGUCCCCCCAGCCUCUCUGCUGGGUUUGUUUCUGUUUCUCUUGAGCUUUGGGGUGAAAUACAAUGCACUCCACUUAAAAUAAGGAUCAAGGUUUCCCAGAGUUUUGACAUGGCUUUUAGGAGUGAAACUGUGCCCAUUUAACAGCCUGAGUAGCUGAAGCAGGGAUGAGCUAAAUGCCAGGCUUUGAAGGUGAGCAGGGAGUGGAAAAGGUGGUGGGUGGGGGCCAGGCUGCCUUCCUCACCUUCCUCAAGACACAGCCAACCCCCCAGGCUUGGAUUCACCCAGUUGGCACGAUGCUGGGAUUUGUGGAUGGGGCCAGGAAAACGCCCUGGCACCCAGGAUGGAUCAUUCCCUCAUGGCUCAGCCCCAUGAUCCAGGCAUGGACAGGACAUCUCCAGCCCUGGGAGGAGCAGCAGCCAGGACAGAGCUGCCCCAGAGCUGUGACAGAGGAAAUUGCUGCUAUUUUCUGGGCACCAGGCCCAAUUUCUGCUUCAUUCUGUCUGAGCCCACACCACACCCUGCAUGCUGCACCCAAAGAUGGAGCCUGAGUGGAGGAGCACACCCAAAUCCAGAGGUACCUCCUUGUGCUUGCCGUGAUGUUUCCACCCAGCAUCAGCCCACCUGAGAGAUUUUCAGCCUCCUCGUGCAGAGCAGGUGGAAUUUCCCUCUGAAUUCAUGUCCUGGGAGCCCUUGGAUGUGGGAAGGGGGUUAAACUCCCUGAGACUGGAUCUGCUGAUAGACCUGCAACAGGCAGGAGCCACCUCGGAGGGAAAACACAGCAGGGACACAAAGGAGCAGCGAGCUGCCUCCUGCUCUCCCAGGUCAUUAGAUCAUCCUCAGGAGUGCUUCAUGUCUGGGUACAGAGCAGUGACAAGUUUGGAUGCUUCAGGAGAGAAACAUUCACUUCCCUGUGAGGAGUAAAUUAGGUUCGUUUGCCUGGUGUCAGCGUGUUAUGACUCAAAGACGUGCAUUAACAUUUACCAAAAUCUGAAUGAAAGCUGAACUCUGCUGUAGACUGAAAGGUUGGGUGUCAUUUUGUUGGGAUUUGGGGGAAAUCCUCUGAAGAGCAGAGCUUUGUUUUUAAUAAUCACCUGCCUGCCAGGCUGCAGGAGACUGCAGCUCUGUGUGCAUGGCUAAGGGAUGUGUCAGGUUACCUGGUGGGCCUGCCUGUGGGCAGCUGGACAUGGGUGGGUGACCAGAGCAUGCCAAGUGUCCCAGGAUCACACCAGACCCCCCCAGAGCUGAGCCAGCAGAGAGGCUGCUCCUCUGAAAUACUUCAGACACAUUUUCCUGGGCAGGGCGAGUUACUUGGGCAGGGUUGUGCAUCAUUUUCUCGCAGUGUUUCUCUUCUGGCACUCCUUGCUGAAAAGUCCACUCCCAGCACCUUGUGAAGCCACAGAUUUAUUGAUUUGAACACAGGGGGGAUGAGUAAAACCAGCAGUU